CGGUGCAUUUCGUUGUCAAAUUAGAAAUUUCGAACUAUAAAUUCAUACCAUCGCACGUAGAUGGAUUUCCAACAAAAUCUAAUUACUAUAGCAUUAUCAUAGCACGUAGAGUCGAAAAAUGAUCAUUCAAACUGUUGUAGUACCGAAGCACCGUACCCGGAGAUACCAUUUCAUUCAAACAUUUAUCGAAAAUCAUAAUUUGAAAUAAAGUAAACACUUGCACCUCUACCUACCUUAAUUUUC
rnacentral:lncRNA from 1 species